rnacentral:lncRNA from 1 species
GGGCUCUGCACAGCACACAACCCCACCGGCCUGGUGCCUAGCAAGGUCGCCUGCUGGCUGUUCCUGCACUUGCUCUACGUCAUUGAUACCACAUGCGUCUUGGAGACAGGACUUGAAAUAUUUACUUGGUCCCUACAAAAAGUGUCUCCCAUAGAGUAGGUGCUCAGGAAAUGCCAGCUGAUGCAUAGAUGCAUCUUGUGUAAAUCAGGAAAGAAAUCACGUGGUUCUGCGCCUGCAGGUGUCUGAUCAACCUGGGCCUCCCGUGGCCCCGGGGCAGGCGCACCUGCACAGCAAGGGGGCUGUAAAGAGGCCUAAAACUCUUCUGAGUUGAUGUCACAGAGCUAUGACCUGCAUGUUGUCCUAAGUGGGAGGGGUGAGGAGCGCUGCAGGAAGGCUCCUCCUUGGCAAGGACAUGGAUGGUUUCUCCAGAGUUCACCUGACUCCCCCGCCUCCAGCUUCAAGCAUCCAGGCGUCCCCCUCGUGGAACUGCCCGAUGCUCUGUUUGGGGAGCCUGCUAUAGUCGAAUUCCAGGAUGUGCCAGACAUCCACGGAGACACUGGUGAUCUCAAACUGCCUCCUGUCGUGCCCUUCCACCAGGCCAUAGCCACGGCCGACGUUCACCCCGUCCAGGAUGGUGCCCGCUGUCGUCUGGGGCAUGGACACCAUCCGCGUCACAUCGUACGGCUUGACGUCAGCCCUGGGGUCUUCCUACAGGGGAACAUGAAGGAUGCUUAA